GGACGAGAAGCUUGCUUCUCUGAUGUUAGCGGCGGACGGGUGAGUAACACGUGGAUAACCUACCUAUAAGACUGGGAUAACUUCGGGAAACCGGAGCUAAUACCGGAUAAUAUUUUGAACCGCAUGGUUCAAAAGUGAAAGACGGUCUUGCUGUCACUUAUAGAUGGAUCCGCGCUGCAUUAGCUAGUUGGUAAGGUAACGGCUUACCAAGGCAACGAUGCAUAGCCGACCUGAGAGGGUGAUCGGCCACACUGGAACUGAGACACGGUCCAGACUCCUACGGGAGGCAGCAGUAGGGAAUCUUCCGCAAUGGGCGAAAGCCUGACGGAGCAACGCCGCGUGAGUGAUGAAGGUCUUCGGAUCGUAAAACUCUGUUAUUAGGGAAGAACAUAUGUGUAAGUAACUGUGCACAUCUUGACGGUACCUAAUCAGAAAGCCACGGCUAACUACGUGCCAGCAGCCGCGGUAAUACGUAGGUGGCAAGCGUUAUCCGGAAUUAUUGGGCGUAAAGCGCGCGUAGGCGGUUUUUUAAGUCUGAUGUGAAAGCCCACGGCUCAACCGUGGAGGGUCAUUGGAAACUGGAAAACUUGAGUGCAGAAGAGGAAAGUGGAAUUCCAUGUGUAGCGGUGAAAUGCGCAGAGAUAUGGAGGAACACCAGUGGCGAAGGCGACUUUCUGGUCUGUAACUGACGCUGAUGUGCGAAAGCGUGGGGAUCAAACAGGAUUAGAUACCCUGGUAGUCCACGCCGUAAACGAUGAGUGCUAAGUGUUAGGGGGUUUCCGCCCCUUAGUGCUGCAGCUAACGCAUUAAGCACUCCGCCUGGGGAGUACGACCGCAAGGUUGAAACUCAAAGGAAUUGACGGGGACCCGCACAAGCGGUGGAGCAUGUGGUUUAAUUCGAAGCAACGCGAAGAA
rnacentral:rRNA from 1 species